ensembl:lncRNA
GUGCGGACCGCAAAACCGCAAAACCUGACUCUGUAGGGGAGGGUCCGGGUGGGCCUUCUUUACAGCGGCGACUCUGGUGCGGGACGUGGACCCCGCUCCACCUCCGGCUUGGCCCACUUAGGUGGCGCCUCUGGAGCGGGGACCCUCACCGCCAACCCCGGACCGGGGACCCUCGCAACGGGCCCCGGGCUGGAGGGAGACUCUGGCAGCUCCGGGCUGGAGGGAGACUCUGGCAGCUCCGGGCUCACCAGGCUGGGGAGACCUACUGGAGGCCUGGUCCGUGGAGGAGGCACAGGAUAGACAGGGCUGUGGGGGAGCACUGGACAUCUGGUGCGUAGCCUUGACACCACUCCUCCAGGCUGAAUGCCCACUCUAGCCCGGCACGUGCAAGAAGCUGGAACAGGCCGCACUGGGAUCUCCUGGCGAACUGGGGAAACCGUGCCUAGAGCCGGCGCGGGAUAUCCUGGCCCGAGGAGACGCAGUGGAGGUCUGGAGAGCAGGGCUGGCACCAUCCGUCCUGGCUGGAUCCUCACCCUAGCCCGGUAGAUGCGGGUAGCUGGAAUGUAGCGCACCGGGCUAAGAACACGUACUGGAGAUCUGUAGCGCCAAGCUGGCAGCAGACGUGCAGGGCUGGGGAGGCGCACAGGAGGCCUGGUGCGUGGGGCUAGCACGCACCUCAGGACGAGUAUGGAGAGCUGACUCAGGUGACAUCAAAUCGAGAACAUGCUCCGUCGGGCGGAUGUCGUGCCUCAUGCACCAACACAGCAACACUCUCAUUGCUCUCUCCUCCAAUCUCCCCAUCAACUCGUUCACUGUCUCUGCUUCGCUUCCUUCGCUCACCUCCAAUUUCACCCCAUAGCACGGGGCCUGAUCAGUCCCAUGCUCGCCACGGUAAGCACGGGGAGUUGGCUCAGGUCUCCAACCUGACUCUGCCACACUCCCAGUGUGUCCCCCCCCCAAAACAUUUUUUGGGGGCUGCCUCUCGGGUUUCCGUGCCAGCCGUGUUCCCUCGCAGUGUUGCCGCUCAGCCUUAGCUGCCUCCAGUUCCUCCUGUGGAUGGCGAUACUCCCCAGCCUGCCUCCAGGGUCCCUUCCCUUCCAGGAUCUCCUCCCAUGUCCAGGAGUCCAUUACACCACGCUGCUUGGUCCUUUGGUGGUGGGUAGUUCUGUAACAGCUGUUGGUGGAAGAAGGUGAGGACCAAAGCGUGUUCUGACAGCUUUGAUGCACCUGUACUGACCUCGCCUUCUGGAUGGUAGCGGUGUGAACAGGCAGUGGCUCAG